AUCACAUCCUGGGGCUGUAGCCGGUCCCAAGGGUAUGGCUGUUCGCCAUUUAAAGUGGUACGUGAGCUGGGUUUAAAACGUCGUGAGACAGUUUGGUCCCUAUCUGCCGUGGGCGUUGGAAGUUUGAAUGGACCUGCUCCUAGUACGAGAGGACCGGAGUGGACGCACCUCUGGUGUACCGGUUAUGACGCCAGUCGUAUCGCCGGGUAGCUAAGUGCGGACGAGAUAACCGCUGAAAGCAUCUAAGCGGGAAACUCCCCAUAAGAUAAGACUUCCCGAGGAUAUAAUCCUCCUAAAGGUUCGUUGAAGACUACAACGUUGAUAGGUCGGGUGUGGAAGCGUAGUAAUACGUUAAGCUAACCGAUACUAAUUGACCGUGAGGCUUGAUCCU
rnacentral:rRNA from 1 species